rnacentral:rRNA from 1 species
GUAGGGUCCGAGCGUUGUCCGGAAUUAUUGGGCGUAAAGAGCUCGUAGGCGGCAGGCCAAGCGUGCGGUGAAAGUCCGGGGCUCAACCCCGGAUCUGCCGUGCGGACUGGUUUGCUAGAGCACUGUAGAGGCGAGUGGAAUUCCGGGUGUAGCGGUGGAAUGCGUAGAGAUCCGGAAGAACACCGGUGGCGAAGGCGGCUCGCUGGGCAGUGGCUGACGCUGAGGCGCGACAGCGUGGGGAGCAAACAGGAUUAGAUACCCUGGUAGUCCACGCCGUAAACGAUGGGCACUAGGUGCCCGGGGGAGCGACCCUCCGGGUGCCGUCGCUAACGCAUUAAGUGCCCCGCCUGGGGAGUACGGCCGCAAGGCUG